rnacentral:rRNA from 1 species
CAGUCGCCGCGGGAAUACGAAGGGUGCAAGCGUUAAUCGGAAUUACUGGGCGUAAAGCGUGCGUAGGCGGUGAGUUAAGUCUGCUGUGAAAUCCCCGGGCUCAACCUGGGAAUGGCAGUGGAUACUGGCUCGCUAGAGUGUGUCAGAGGAUGGUGGAAUUCCCGGUGUAGCGGUGAAAUGCGUAGAGAUCGGAAGGAACAUCUGUGGCGAAGGCGACUAUCUGGGCCAACACUGACACUGAGGCACGAAAGCGUGGGGAGCAAACAGGAUUAGAGACCCCCGUAGUCCCUGUCUCUUAUAC